rnacentral:rRNA from 1 species
CAAUAGCGUAUAUUAAAGUUGUUGCAGUUAAAAAGCUCGUAGUUGGAUUUCUGGCCCGGCAUUGGGUGGUCUCGCCGCAAGGUGGUGCACUGCCCGGUCGGGCUUUCUUCCCGAGUGUGCGUUCUGUUCUUAACUGAGUGGGGCGUGUGUUCGGGACCUUUACUUUGAAAAAUUAGAGUGUUCAAAGCAGGCGAAUGCUUGAAUACAUUAGCAUGGAAUAAUGGAAUAGGACUUUGGUUCUAUUUUGUUGGUUUCUAGGACUGAAGUAAUGAUUAAUAGGGAUAGUUGGGGGCAUUAGUAUUUAAUUGUCAGAGGUGAAAUUCUUGGAUUUAUGAAAGACUAACUUCUGCGAAAGCAUUUGCCAAGGAUGUUUUCAUUAAUCAAGAACGAAAGUUAGGGGAUCGAAGACGAUCAGAUACCAU